GUCAUUUUAUACAUAUUCAAUUUUGAGCUGGGUGUUAUUAUGUGUUUUCCUUUAUCUCUUUGUAUUUCCGAUACUCCCCCGUCUAUAUUCGUUCCCCUUUUGAUAUCGUAAUCUCUAUCUAAUUCCUUCCUCAUGCCUGUGCUUUUCAACUCUGAGAGGAAACUUGAAUUCCUCGCCGGAGAUUAGCUGAAGCAGGUAGUCUGAGACAUCACAGUAAGAGGGUAGGAUUUUGGAAAAUCAUUGUUGUCCAUAGGCAGCAUUCCUUACACUAAUGCAAGACGCAAUGGAAAGGUCAGUUGUUUUCAAUACAAAUCUAGCCAUCUCUAGCUCCUCGGCUGUGAAAAUUGUUGUGCCUCCUCUCCAUGUGAAGCAAUUUGCUACUCUAACAAUAACCCUCCAUUUUUCUGGAAGAACUUGGAUUUUAGCUUAAUAAACUUAUGCUUCUUCACACUGAAAUAAAUUCUGGAGAUCACAAACAAAGACAUGAGAAACAAGAGCCGAGACCUGCAAGGUUACAUUUCAUUAAAUGUAAAUGUUGAAGGGAACAUAGCACUUAUCAAUUAUAUUCUAGAGCAGAGGACUUACUUACCUAGGGUGAGCUGUGCAGGGCCCGGAAAGACUUUGAUAUGUUGUGGGAUGUAACCUCCUCAGCCACUUCUCCUUUUUCCUGUGGUAAUUAUAUUCCUGGGUUAUCUUUGAAAUUUCAUAAUGAUGAGUGUCAAAAGAUAGAUAGAUAGACUGACUUUCAUAAUAUGUCCGAUAGAUAGAUAGAUAGAUAGAUAGAUAUACGAUUGUGUGUCAAGAGAACCUUUACCAAUUUUGAUUUUUAUAUGGUAUUCCAGUUUUGUACUUGUGUGGAUUCUGGGAGUACUUGGAUUGGAUAUAGUUUAGGCAAAUAGAGACAAUUCUUUUGUAGGAAUAUAAAUUAGAAUUGUGGAAACUUGAUGAGCACGUCCUGCCCUGUCGUGUGCUGCUGAUAUCUCCUACCAUCAACAUAGGAAAGAUCAGCCUGUACCUGGUUGACCCAUGAUAAACCACAAAGUUAUGUUUCCUAGAAUCCCUGCCUCAAGCACAACAGACUCAUUAAUGGCUUUGGGAGUGUAAGAAUUGCAACAGCCACUACCACCAGAAGACCACCUAUGAUGAUGAGUCAUAGUGGUCAUCAUGUUACAUACCUUAACCCAUUCACUGUGCACCUUAGUUGACCCUCUCAUAAAACCAAAGUAGUCACUCACAACAACUCAUGUGUAUGAGUAAGACUGUGAACUUGUUUGCAGUGUCAGAGAUUGUCUCAUAGUACUCAAAUUUGUUGCAGCAAUAUGAGGAGCUGUAGCCAGUAGGACUAAAGUACAACAACAUUAAUAAUAUUCUUCCUAUUUUAAUGGUAUUGCAGCUAUAAGCAACUGAGUUAUUUACGUGUACCUAGGAUGGAGAAAGCUGCCCCACCUCAAUAAUAUUACUUUUUCCUGAGAAUGACUUUGGCGGGAUAUAGGAGCUGAUGCAGUUUAUUAACCAAUACACUCCCAUGGAACAUUAUCCUUUCCCAAUACCAAAUGGGGUAGGGUGCUGUGAGAUUCCAGCACAUUCUUUUUGGCAGGGGGACUUGGAGUUGUUGACUUCGGAUAGUGCUGCCAACAAAAACUAUGAAGCUAAGGUCAACCAAGAGAGUUUGUGGAAGAGAUGGCCUAGUAUGAGAUGCAACAUCCUUUCCAUUUUAUCCUUCCUUCCUUCAACAUAUAAGUGAAAUUUUGGUUUAGAGGGCUCAAUGAUGUAUUGAAGAAAAGGAUUUACGUCUGCUCCUUCCGUGUUUCUUCCUUUCACGCGGCAUUGAAUCGCAACUCUAGUUUUCUUAUUGCGAGGUCAAGGGUUAGGCUCAGUAUAUGACCAAAUGCACUUGCUCCCUCCUUGUUUCUUCCUUGAAGCAGUCACUUAGAAGAACAUAUGGUCUACUAUUAAAUGCUUAAUUUCAUAUUUUUUCAACACCGUUUUACAUAUAUGCAUGUCUUGAUUUUUUGUUAAUGCCUCAGGAGAAAUUGGAACAUACCCAAGAAGGAAAACGUAGUUUCCAGUUAAGUUAUCAAUGUUUCUUGACCUUUGCAGUAAUAGGUAAGGUUGCUACAGCUUCAAGAUAUAUCGAAAUAUAUCGAAAAUGCCCACAGAACCUAUUACAAUAGAUCAAAGCUUCAAUCAGAUGUGAUUAAAAAGUAACAGCAUCUUACAGACUGACGUGAGUAAAAAAAACUGGCUGCAAGCUUCCUUUCCAAACAACUGGCAGUCCAAGAAGACGUUCCUUUGCUUAACUUCAGAAUUAAUCAGUUGCAGUGAAUUUGCCGAAGGACAGAGAACCUCUUUGCCACACACAUUUGUUUCUUGAGGAAGAUUCAUAAGCUUGUUUCAUUCG